AUUGUUAUUGUGAGAAAAUUUAUUCUAUUUGUUCUUUGUGAACUUUUGAGAACUUAUUGCAUUUUUAGACUUAUCAGUUGGUUCUUUCAUAACCAAUUGUGACAUCUUUACAUACCAAGGUUCCUACCUCUUUAUGGAUAGUGGAUCAAAGUUUUCCACCUAUAAUCUAAUGUUUUUAAAUGAUUUGUAUCAUUCUCUUGCAUACUUAAUUCCUUUAGGGUUAAGUGUGUAUCAUAUGAUUCUUUAAUUUGCAUUAAGUUGUAAGACUCAUAGGUUUUGUUUUUAUUUUUAUUUUUUUUGUAUGCUUUUCUCCUUAUCAAAUUACUUUAAAUGCAUUCCUUUUGCCACACUUUUAAAUCUUUGAAAUUUGUUGUGACAAAGUCUUGGAGGUGGAGUACCUUUGCAAGGAGGAUUAUGCUACGAUAGUGGUGGAGUUCCUUUCCGAGAGUAUCGUUGCACUGCAAAGGAGAACCACAAGAAUGAGGAUGAUGUGUACCACUCACGUGAAGUUGCCUUUAAUCUAAACUCAUAUCUGUUCUUAAUUGUCAGUCAUCAACGAUAUUGGGUGAGUGGCUAGGCUUUCCUCUUAUGCAACUUUAAGCUUCCCUUCUCACAUGUUUAGCAAUUGAUAAAAAUGCUUAAAUUAGGAUAUUUUGAAAAAUUAAAAAAAUAAUAAUAAUGAAAAAAGAAAAAGAGAAAUCCUUUUUAUAGAACUAGAAGCAAAAGAACAAAAAGAGGAGGAGAAAAAACUAAAGGGCCAAGGAGGGUGAUAAUAACUUUGAUAGUCACGUGCAUUGGGACCCAUAACAACUAAUCUUAUGGAGAAACUGUGGCCUCCUAUUAUAUAUCGACAAGCGACAAAGAAAUAUCUGAAUGUUUUUUCAUGGCGGAUAGAUUACAGACAUACAUAUGUAUUAUAUUAUAUUAUAGUAUAGUAUAAUAUUGAUAUAUCUAUCCAUUAAAUAUAUAUGCCAAAUGAAAGAAUAUUCAACUUCAACUCAAUUUGAAAAAAAAAUAAAAAUAAAAAUAAAAAAUUUGAUGACUUUAUCCUUGUUUUCCACCUUUUGGGCAUUGCCAGUUUGGAUUCUUUGUGCUUGAAAAAAAAAAAAAGAUGCUUGGCCUAUUGCAGCAUAAAAAUUCAAGUUUAUCUACUGAAAUAAGGGCCUAGUAUUUUAUUUUUUAAUCUUUGAAUCUGCACAUACCUUCAAAUCUAAUUCCAUACUGCUGCUCUCACAUAAUUUCAUAAAAGUGACUCAAAAUUUUAAUUCUCAAACCUGGUGGUACAUGUUCUACUUAACAGCAACCUUAAUGGUUUUAUCAAAAAGGACUGUUGAAUGAGCAGGGGCAUAACAUCCUUCAAGCAACUUGAAGUUUCCUAGUUCUUCUGUUGGGAUUCUCCUCGACAAUAAAAUAACAUAAAUAUGGAUUUAUGUUUGCUUUAUACAACAAUUUCGCACACACAUACACAUACAUAUUUAGCCAAAAAAUAUCAUAUAAGGUCAAUCAAAUAUAAUUUUAGUUUUUUCGACAUUAAAAUAAAAUAAAAUCUAUAUAUUAUACCCUAAAUAUUAGUUUGCUUGCUACAUCUUUUCCAUGAUUUCUUAGAACAAAAGACAGAGAGAAAAUGGCUGUAAGCAUUCUAGAUUACUUGCUUAAAUUGAAAUUAGAGAAAAUGAGCUAGCAAUGCAUGCCAAAAGCACCUGGGAAAAUUACAUGUUUGUUCUACAUUAAUUCCAGGAGUUUAUUUCACAGUAAUUCCAGGAGUUUAUUCCAUCCAAUUUUCUCUCUUUAUUAGGUAUACUCACAAUACACAAUAUCAUAUAUUAGAUAUGUACAAGGAUACGAACUCAACAAACCUCCUAAAGGUGGAAGCAAAAAUACCAUAUGGUUACAGAGGGAAAAAAAAAAAAAAAAAUGAAAA